GGCGAACGCUGGCGGCGUGCUUAACACAUGCAAGUCGAGCGAUGAAGCACCUUCGGGUGUGAAUUAGCGGCGAACGGGUGAGGAACACGUGAGAAAUCUGCCUUCAACACUGGGAUAACUCCGGGAAACCGGGGCUAAUACCGGAUAUGAAACCUGCGGGCAUCCGCGGGUUUGGAAAGUUUUUCGGUUGAAGAUGAUCUCGCGGCCUAUCAGCUUGUUGGUGGGGUAAUGGCUCACCAAGGCGACGACGGGUAGCCGGCCUGAGAGGGCGACCGGCAACGCUGGGACUGAGACACGGCCCAGACUCCUACGGGAGGCAGCAGUGGGGAAUAUUGGGCAAUGGAGGAAACUCUGACCCAGCGACGCCGCGUGCGGGAUGAAGGCCUUCGGGUUGUAAACCGCUUUCAGCAGGGAAGAAGCGAAAGUGACGGUACCUGCAGAAGAAGCACCGGCUAACUAUGUGCCAGCAGCCGCGGUAA
rnacentral:rRNA from 1 species